GUACUGCUGAAGAGUCCCAAACUAAGACGAAACAGCUGGCCAGUAC
rfam:Trichobilharzia regenti genome assembly, scaffold: TRE_scaffold0038184